AUUACACAAUCAUUUGUAUCUUUGUCACUUUGGUUGCUCCAGUUUGCCCAAUCAUUGGAAUUCUGGUGACCGCAGAGUACCUACAGGUCAACUGAGAACAACAAGGUCAUGUCUGAAUACCAGAUGCUGGGAAAGAGUGGGUUGAAACUAAAAGGUGUUGCUGACGUGUCUUUGAAAAAAAAGAAGAAGAAGAAGGACAAGACCAAGAUUCUAGAGACAGUGGUCAAGGCCCCUGUUGAUGCCAGUACUGAGGUGUCAAAGAAACAACAGAAAACCAAAACAAAGGCAGAACUAGCUUUUGAGAAACAGAGGGAGAAAAAUGAAUUGAAGAGGAUCAUGGAGAAGGCAUCAAAGACACACAAGCAGAGAGUGGAAGAUUUCAACAGGCACCUGGACAGCCUCACAGAACACUUUGAUAUCCCCAAAGUCAGCUGGACCAAAUAAGAUGUCUCAUGGGUACUGGAAAACUUCACUUUGUGUUUCUACCAUUCAUUGUCACGUGUUGCAGUCGAAUUGUCGGCUUCCCACAUCGUGCGCCCCUGUGUGCGAGAUGAAUGGUUCGCGAUUCGCGAAUAGUGUAAUGAAUGCUGUGACAUCCACCAUAUGUACUUAUGUAGGGUAGUUCUACGAGAGCUGCGCUUACACGGUUCGUCGCUUCCUAAUCGUACCAAGCUCAUUUUAUUUUGAGCAUGUCAGCUUACGGUAUUGCCCAUCAGCGCGUAAAUCUAUCGUGGCGAGAAUAAAAAAAUCAAAUAUCUGACUACUAA